rnacentral:lncRNA from 1 species
GUGUGGAUGAGGAAUAAUAACUUUUAAAAAAACUAAGCAUACAAAAAAAGGGAAGGGGGUAAAAUACAACUAACAGUUAACUCCUUUUCUUUCCCCAAACUUUAUUCCUAGGAAGUGGUGCACCGGAUUAAUACAUCACUAAGUGAGAAUUCAAUGACUCUUUUGUGAAAGUGGUGACCUGUACAUCAGGAACAUAAUGCAAGUAAGACCUCACUCCCUGGCAGUUCUAAUCAGGUCAUAGUAAAUAUACUGUCUUCACUUUGCAUUACUGCUUCACACAGGAACUUAAAUUCUCUGCGAUAGGGGCACUUAUAUUGCUGGACUAGAAUCUGAAUUGAAAAAGCGGCAUCUAUUCUUUUCUGUGGCCAUUCUGGACAAACAGAGCACAUGAUCCACAAGCAACUCUUGAAGCCAGGACAGACUCUUCUUACACUGCUACAGAACAGACGGUUGUGCCAGUUGGAGCUCAUGAGCCAAGAAGCAUAGUGGAUUCCCAUUAUUCAUGUUUGCAG